CGGUCCGAUUCGCACUCCAUUUUUCGGCUUUUGAUUGAGUUAUCUUCAGAAGAAACUGGAUUUUCCACGGAUCGCUCCAAUGGAAGCCGAUAGAAACUAUGUGGGGAUUGCAUAUAGGGUCUAUAUUAUCAAGGGUUUAUCGUAAAACCGAUUGCUCAGGUGAUUUCCGAACUUUUGCAGACCCACUGGGUAUCAAAUUGCAGAGGGAAAACGCAUGUACGACUAUGAAUAAUUUCCGCGAAAUGUUCAGUUUUAAAUACUGGAAGCCAGAACAGUGCCAGGGCCAGUGGUUCGGGGUAGUAAUAUAUAAUAUAUAUCGUAGUACUAUAAAGGGGACCAACCAUAAAAGGCUUUCCACUCGUUGCAUCAACAGUAGCAGAGGCGAAAAUGAAGCUUACCCUAAUUCUAAUGGAGUUCAUGCUCCUGACAGUGGGAAACUCUUGGGUGCACUUCAAAACUCUUGAACCAGGCGCAGAUGGAGGCUGCAAGGGCCCCAACGGCGACAUGGUUGUCCUUGGAAUGCAGGAUGACCCGGAUGUCUGCGGGGCUUUCCAUUGCCAAAACGAUAGCGGCGACGUACUCAUCCACUAGCAACUGCCAGAUCCCUGCUGCGUUCGCAGACUGCGCGGAUACUGGCGUGUCGUCAGCCAGGCCCUGGCCCGAAUGCUGUUGGACGUGCGUCGAACUAAUAGACUGCGCAAAAGAAGAAACACAAGUAAAACCAGACGGUCCCAUUACAUAGAUCCGCAUUUCCAAGGUCCGCCAGAUCUGAUCGUCGCAACCGGAAUGGGAUCACUAUUGAACCAGCCAUAGGACAAAGCCAAUAAAUUUAUAAGUCUGAUACGAUAA